rnacentral:rRNA from 1 species
GAAGAAGGGCGCACGGUGAAUGCCUUGGCACUGGAAGCCGAUGAAGGACGCGACUAACCGCGAAAGUCUUCGGGGAGCCGUAAGUAGGCUUUGAUCCGGAGGUCUCCGAAUGGGGGAACCCAGCAUGUGCAGACAUGCUAUCCUUAAGUGAAUACAUAGCUUAAGGAGGGAACACGCAGUGAACUGAAACAUCUAAGUAGCUGCAGGAAGAGAAAGAAAUAUCGAUUUCCCAAGUAGCGGCGAGCGAACAGGAAAGAGCCCAAACCGGCAGAUUUAUCUGCCGGGGUUGUAGGACUGAGACAUGGCACUUCAGAGGAUAGCAGAAGCGUUUGGGAAAGCGCGCCAGAGAGGGUGAGAGCCCCGUAAGCGAAAUCCAAAGAAGGCCUAUCAGUAUCCUGAGUAGGGCGGGACACGUGAAAUCCCGUUUGAAUCCGCGAGGACCAUCUCGCAAGGCUAAAUACU